rnacentral:rRNA from 1 species
UUCUGGUUGAUCCUGCCGGACCUGACUGCUAUCGGAUUGAUACUAAGCCAUGCUAGUCUUUGUAGUAAUACAAGGCAUACGGCUCAGUAACGCGUAGUCAACCUACCCUAUGGACGGGGAUAAUCUCGGGAAACUGAGCAUAAUACCCGGCAGACCACUUAUCCUGGAAUGGUUAGUGGUUAAAAUGAUUCGUCGCCAUAGGAUGGGACUGCGGCCUAUCAGCUUGUUGGUGAGGUAAUGGCCCACCAAGGCGAUUACAGGUACGGGCUCUGAGAGGAGAGGCCCGGAGAUGGGUACUGAGACAAGGGCCCAGGCCCUAUGGG